CUCGGCGGCUACCAUGCAAGUCGAACGGGCGUAGCAAUACGUCAGUGGCAGACGGGUGAGUAACGCGUGGGAACGUACCUUUUGGUUCGGAACAACUGAGGGAAACUUCAGCUAAUACCGGAUAAGCCCUUACGGGGAAAGAUUUAUCGCCGAAAGAUCGGCCCGCGUCUGAUUAGCUAGUUGGUGAGGUAAUGGCUCACCAAGGCGACGAUCAGUAGCUGGUCUGAGAGGAUGAUCAGCCACAUUGGGACUGAGACACGGCCCAAACUCCUACGGGAGGCAGCAGUGGGGAAUAUUGGACAAUGGGGGCAACCCUGAUCCAGCCAUGCCGCGUGAGUGAUGAAGGCCCUAGGGUUGUAAAGCUCUUUUGUGCGGGAAGAUAAUGACGGUACCGCAAGAAUAAGCCCCGGCUAACUUCGUGCCAGCAGCCGCGGUAAUACGAAGGGGGCUAGCGUUGCUCGGAAUCACUGGGCGUAAAGGGUGCGUAGGCGGGUUUCUAAGUCAGAGGUGAAAGCCUGGAGCUCAACUCCAGAACUGCCUUUGAUACUGGAAGUCUUGAGUAUGGCAGAGGUGAGUGGAACUGCGAGUGUAGAGGUGAAAUUCGUAGAUAUUCGCAAGAACACCAGUGGCGAAGGCGGCUCACUGGGCCAUUACUGACGCUGAGGCACGAAAGCGUGGGGAGCAAACAGGAUUAGAUACCCUGGUAGUCCACGCCGUAACGAUGAAUGCCAGCCGUUAGUGGGUUUACUCACUAGUGGCGCAGCUAACGCUUUAAGCAUUCCGCCUGGGGAGUACGGUCGCAGAUUAAACUCAAGGAAUG
rnacentral:rRNA from 1 species